UACGUAGGGGGCAAGCGUUGUCCGGAAUCAUUGGGCGUAAAGAGCGUGUAGGCGGUCCGGUCAGUCGGUUGUGAAAGUCAAGGGCUCAACCCUUGAAUGCCGGCCGAUACUGCCCGGGCUAGAGUCCGGAAGAGGUGAGUGGAAUUCCUGGUGUAGCGGUGAAAUGCGCAGAUAUCAGGAGGAACACCGAUGGCGAAGGCAGCUCACUGGGACGGUACUGACGCUGAGACGCGAAAGCUAGGGGAGCAAACGGG
rnacentral:rRNA from 1 species